AGAAAGCAAUAAAGAAUCAACAGCAUUUUUAUUACUAUUUCGUGUGUUUAGUACGUCGGGGAAUUAUUAUUGUGUUGAGUGUGUUUUGUUAAGUGGAAUUUCUAUAAAAAUAAUUAAUGUAAAAUUAAGAAAUUAAUUUUAAUAUAAUUUCAUACAAUUGUUAAAGAUUUGCUAAGAAAAUAGAUUGAAACAAAAAGAAACGUGAAAAAAGCAGAAGUGUACAAGAAUUUGCAGAAAUAAAGUGAAUCAACAACAAAAAAUAUUAAUGCAAAAUAGCUAGACCAGCAGUAUUUACACUUUUUUCUUGUGGCGAUGCUAAUUAUAAUUAUGCAAGUGAAAACCAAUUGAAUAUAAAAUACAAUAAAUAAAUAAAAAAUAACAAAUAAUUGAAUAAAAAACGUGAAAAACUCAACAACACGAAUAAUAAAUAAAUAAAAACGAUAAAUAACACCAAAAUAGAUAAAAACAAGUAUUUAGUGCAUAAAGCAAAAUAAAAACACAAAAUCGCCAAAAGUCGUUGAACUAAAAAAAUUACACACGUAACAACAAAUUCUCAUAACGGUACUUGUUGUAAAAACAUAAACUUAAAAAUAUUGUUUUAUAAUUAAUAACAAAAACAGAGUGCAAUACAUAGUUUUUUAAUAAAGAAAAAAGAAAAUCAAAACAAAAUUGUAACAAAGUGUCUGUCUAGUUUUUUUUGUGACAUUUUAGUGAUUAUUUUUUAUUCAUAUUUUUGGACCCCAGACAUUUACAUACAUACAUAUGUACGUAUAUACGUUGGACAACAUUUAUUCAACUAACGCGUGCUCUCUCUCUGUGUUUCUUUUGCAGCAGAAUAAUAUCUCUCUAUUUUUGUAACAUUUUACUCUCGGUGAAACCUUGUUAUUGGUCUACCAUUGCCCUUAGAUUACAGGCAAACAACAUAUCCAACCAAAUUUUUGCAUAGAGAUGCCAAAUUUCUAACAAGAAAAGUAAUUUAUACAACAAUUAAUACAUAUACAACAACAGCAAAUAACAUAUUUUUCUACAACAAAACAAAUUAUUGAAAUAUUUUGAGCAAAAAAAAAAAAACAAACUUUAAUAAAUUUUAGUGAAUGUGAGUUUUUAUUGUUUACAUUAAAUUUCCAUAACAGACUGAGACUGCAUUAGUGUGCCUAUAAAACUUUACAACAACAACAAAAACUGAUUUGCAAAAACAAAAAGAGUGAAAUUCCUAUUCUAUAAAAACGUAACACCAACCCAACAACAACUACUUUAUGCUAAAUUAAAACUAGCAACAACAACAAAUAAUCUUCCAUAUUCUAAACAAAACAGAAAAGCAUCCCAAUUAUCUUAUCUCUAUUUAUAAAACUAAAAAAGAUUUAUAAAAAAAAAAAACAACAAAAAACCAACAAACAUUAACUAAUUUGUUUAUAUUCAUGUUACUCUUAUCUUAACGUAAAAAACAAAAACAGCAACUAGAAAAAACCAAAACAAAUAAUAAAGAAAAUAUCAACACUAACAACAACUACCGACUACAGCAAACACAAUUUACAGAAAUUCAAAACAAAAACAACGCCCGUUAUUUUGCCAUCUGUUCUUCUUACAGCAAAAUCAUAACAGAGCCAAGAAUCAAUAAUAAAAACAAACAACGUCUAUCGUUCGCGUUCUCUUAAAUCGUUUUAUUCGCAAUAAAAGUCUCUCUUAAAGUGUAAACGAGAAAAAAGUAAAAACAAUUGCCGGUUAACUUUUGACAUUUGCUUUUAAACGCGUUCGCGUAUAUUUGUUUGAGUGUGUGUUUAUAAAUAAUAAAAAAAUAAAGUGUUUUUUUUCCGUUUCGCCCCCGCGUUCGAUUACCGUGUAGCGUGAGUGUAAGUGAGAGUGAGUGUGUGUAUUAUUGCCAUAUCUAUAGAAAAUAAUUAGAAAAAAUAGUGUGAAAGUGUUUAAAUUCUCAUUCAUCCCCAUCACUUGAUUUGUUAAGCGGUUAAUUGGUUUAACUUUUCUAAUCGUCUACUGAUUUAUCAUCAAUGAUGCAUCAGCCACGUUAUAGUCCAGCUCAAACUUUACCUCAAGUACCUCCACAUGGAGGUAUGAGGCCACCGUUACAACAACCAACACGUCCUCCAACAUUUGCCAAUGUAAGU